rnacentral:SRP_RNA from 1 species
GCUGGGCAUGGUGGUGCACGCCUGUAAUCCCAGCUACUCAGGAGGCUGAGGCAGGAGAAUCGCUUGAACCUGGGAGGCAGAGAUUGCAGUGAGCGGAGAUCACACCACUGCACUCCAGCCUGGGUGACAGAGCGAGACUCUGUCUCAA